AUUGAACGCUGGCGGCAUGCCUUACACAUGCAAGUCGAACGGUAACGGGUCCUUCGGGAUGCCGACGAGUGGCGAACGGGUGAGUAAUAUAUCGGAACGUGCCCAGUAGUGGGGGAUAACUGCUCGAAAGAGCAGCUAAUACCGCAUACGACCUGAGGGUGAAAGGGGGGGAUCGCAAGACCUCUCGCUAUUGGAGCGGCCGAUAUCAGAUUAGCUAGUUGGUGGGGUAAAGGCCUACCAAGGCAACGAUCUGUAGUUGGUCUGAGAGGACGACCAGCCACACUGGGACUGAGACACGGCCCAGACUCCUACGGGAGGCAGCAGUGGGGAAUUUUGGACAAUGGGCGCAAGCCUGAUCCAGCAAUGCCGCGUGCAGGAAGAAGGCCUUCGGGUUGUAAAUUGCUUUUGUCAGGGAAGAAAUCUUCUGGGCUAAUACCCCGGGAGGAUGACGGUACCUGAAGAAUAAGCACCGGCUAACUACGUGCCAGCAGCCGCCGCGG
rnacentral:rRNA from 1 species